rnacentral:lncRNA from 1 species
CACAGGCUCCUUCAUCCUGCCACUCUUGGUCCUUAACCUGCAGCUUCCAUCUCACGGACACCUAGGGAUGCUGCAGCUCCUGCCAUCUCAUCUGCUCUCUAGGACGCCCUCAGCACAUGUUGCUGUUGUUCAGCAUGUGUUGUCGGAGUCACAUGGCGCCAUUUCUGCUGAAGUCCUGUCAUCCAGAAUUUAGUCACCGGCCGGCCAUCUGAGCUUCUGGGAGUGUGAGGAGAUAGCGUUUACCUUCGGAAUGUGCAGACUGAUGUUCACGUCCCGAUGCAAAGUCCAUUUUCAGCUUGCGGGGCGUGUGAAAACAGGCAGUGGCACGUGGCUUGCGGCCAGUUUGCGAGCCCCG